rnacentral:tRNA from 1 species
GGGCGAUUGGCGCAGCGGUUAGCGCACUUCCCUGACACGGAAGGGGUCGGCAGUUCAAAUCUGCCAUCGCCCACCA